rnacentral:rRNA from 1 species
AUUGAACGCUGGCGGCAUGCCUAACACAUGCAAGUCGAACGGCAGCAUGAGAGAGCUUGCUCUCUUGAUGGCGAGUGGCGGACGGGUGAGUAAUGCAUCGGGACCUACCCAGACGUGGGGGAUAACGUAGGGAAACUUACGCUAAUACCGCAUACGUCCUACGGGAGAAAGCGGGGGAUCUUCGGACCUCGCGCGGUUGGACGGACCGAUGUGCGAUUAGCUAGUUGGUAGGGUAAUGGCCUACCAAGGCGACGAUCGCUAGCUGGUCUGAGAGGAUGAUCAGCCACACUGGGACUGAGACACGGCCCAGACUCCUACGGGAGGCAGCAGUGGGGAAUAUUGGACAAUGGGCGCAAGCCUGAUCCAGCAAUGCCGCGUGUGUGAAGAAGGCCCUCGGGUUGUAAAGCACUUUUAUCAGGAACGAAAUCUGCGGGGUCAAUACCCCCGUAGUCUGACGGUACCUGAGGAAUAAGCACCGGCUAACUUCGUG